AGAGUAGGCAGGGUGGUCGCUCGUCCUCUCCUGCAAAGCGAGGGGAUAAGAGGAAAGUCCGAGCUCCAGAGGGCAAGGUGGUCCGUAACGCGGACUGGGGGUGACCCCAAGGAAAGUGCCACAGAAAAUAUACCGUCCGCCUCUGGCGUGAUAAGGGUGAAAAGGCGAGGUAAGAGCUCACCG
rnacentral:RNase_P_RNA from 1 species